rnacentral:rRNA from 1 species
GGAAGGAUCAUUACUGAUUUGUUGACACGAGCUGUUGCUGGUCCUCAAACAUGGGGGCAUGUGCACGCUCUGUUCACACAUCCACUCACACCUGUGCACCCUCCGUAGUUCUAUGGUCUGGGGGACACCCUGUCUUCCUCCUGUAGUUCUAUGUCUUUACACGUACACCGUAGCGAAGUCUUAUGGAAUGUGCACCGCGUUUAACGCAAUACAAUACAACUUUCAGCAACGGAUCUCUUGGCUCUCGCAUCGAUGAAGAACGCAGCGAAAUGCGAUAAGUAAUGUGAAUUGCAGAAUUCAGUGAAUCAUCGAAUCUUUGAACGCACCUUGCGCCCCUUGGCUAUUCCGAGGGGCAUGCCUGUUUGAGUAUCAUGAACACCUCAACUCUCAUGGUUUGCCAUGAUGAGCUUGGAUUUUGGAGGUUUUGCUGGCCUGUGGUCAGCUCCUCUCAAAUGGAUCAGCCUACCAGUAUUUGGUGGCGUCACAGGUGUGAUAACUAUCUACGCUUGUGGUUGUCUGCUGAGUAACCUUUGGUGACAGAGGUUCACUGGAGCUUAUAAAUGUCUUUCCUCAGUGAAGACAGCUUUUUGACCGUUCGAUCUCAAAUCAGGUAGGACUACCCGCUGAACUUAAGCAUAUCAAUAAGCGGAGGAAAAGAAACUAACAAGGAUUCCCCUAGUAACUGCGAGUGAAGCGGGAAGAGCUCAAAUUUAAAAUCUGGCAUGCCUCUGGCUGUCCGAGUUGUAGUCUGGGAGAAGUGUUUUCCGUGUUGGACCGUGUAUAAGUCUCUUGGAACAGGGCGUCAUAGAGGGUGAGAAUCCCGUCUUUGACACGGACUACCAAUGCUUUGUGAUGCGCUCUCAAAGAGUCGAGUUGUUUGGGAAUGCAGCUCAAAAUGGGUGGUAAAUUCCAUCUAAAGCUAAAU